rnacentral:misc_RNA from 1 species
UUUCCGUAGGUGAACCUGCGGAAGGAUCAUUAACACGUAUCCACGUAUCAACCCCUCUGUGAAAACGAAGAAACUGCAAAGGUUCGAUCUUAGUGUGUCUGUCGCUGUGGGUCCUAAUGAUGGCCGCCUUUUUCGAGGCGGAGGGCUCGACAGGCAUGUGUUUGACGAUCAAGCCGCUACUUUCCCAUUGUUGGCCUUUUUUUUCUUUUUAAACCCCUUGUACUCUUUUGUACUGAACCAUUCUUCGAUGCUUCCUUUCUGAGGAAGUGACGAAAGAUAUUACGAAACUACAGAACAACUCUUAGCAACGGAUAUCUUGGUUCCC